UCUGGUAAUGAUGGCAGAGAGGUCACACCCGUUCCCAUACCGAACACGGAAGUUAAGCUCUCUAGCGCCGAUAGUAGUUGGGACCUUGUCCCUGUGAGAGUAGGACGUUGCCAGGC
rnacentral:rRNA from 1 species